rnacentral:rRNA from 1 species
UACGUAGGGUGCGAGCGUUAAUCGGAAUUACUGGGCGUAAAGCGUGCGCAGGCGGUUUGCUAAGACCGAUGUGAAAUCCCCAGGCUUAACUUGGGAACUGCGUCGGAUACUGGUGGGCUUGAAUCCGGGAGAGGGAUGCGGAAUUCCAGGUGUAGCGGUGAAAUGCGUAGAUAUCUGGAGGAACACCGGUGGCGAAGGCGGCAUCCUGGACCGGUAUUGACGCUGAGUGAGCGAAAGCCAGGGGAGCAAACGGG